UACGUAGGCAGCAAGCGUUGUUCGGAGUUACUGGGCGUAAAGGGUGUGUAGGCGACCUUCUAAGUUUGGUGUGAAAUCUCCCGGCUCAACUGGGAGGGUGCGCCGAAUACUGAAGGGCUAGAGUGCGGGAGAGGAGAGUGGAAUUCCUGGUGUAGCGGUGAAAUGCGUAGAUAUCAGGAGGAACACCGGUGGUGUAGACGGCUCUCUGGACCGUAACUGACGCUGAGACACGAAAGCGUGGGUAGCAAACAGG
rnacentral:rRNA from 1 species